CUACACUAAACAAAUUGCACCACAACAAUUAGCAUGUGAAAAAAUGACAUUAAAAAUUGCAAAAAAAAAAAAAAAAUUAAAAAACCGAGCAGGCCUGAGCUAAGCCGACUUGGCUCGUAAAAAACCUGAGCCUUAUUUUUUUGGCCGAGCUUUGGCUCGGCUCGGCUCAGCUCGGGCCCAAAAAGAGCCCACUAUGAUUUACUCGAGCCGAGCCCAAGCCCAAAGUCUCGGCUCGCGAGCCGGCUCGGCUAGGCUCGUUUACAUUCCUAGUCUGUUUGGUCAGAUUUUUAGACUAUAAAUUGAUACUACAUUAGAGUCCAAGUCAGGGUCGAUUAGGGCUAAUAUUGUGAGGCUAUUUGUAAAGUCGACGAUCUAAUUUUUCUUGGUGUAAAUCCGAUUCUUAUAAAACGAUCUUGUGUUCUCUCUUGGGAAGAAUCAGAUUUACACCAAGAAAAAUCAGAUCAUCGGCUUUACAAAUAGCCUCACAAUAUUAGCCCUAAUUGACCCUGACCUGGACUCUAAUGUAGUAUCAAUUUACAGUCUAAAAAUCUGACCAAACAGACCAAAGAACCCGCUGCCGAAAAACACAAAAUUCCGGCCAGCCACCAGUAAAAUAACCACCAGAUCACCGGCUCAGAACACUGGCCUUACUAUCGAAAAUAUGGUCGAAAAGUAUAUAUAAUCAGAUCUGAAAUUUCCUCCACCAAAGAGAAGAAAAACGCCAUAAAGAGAGAAGAGAGAAGUUUGCCAUUUUGGAAGAAAAAUGAAGAGAAAGUGAAAGUAAUUUUUUGCUUCUCUAUUUUUUUGCUUCUCUCUCCUGCCGUCCAUAUCAAUUAAAUGAGAGAAAAAUUUUAGGCUAAUCUCAACCCUCCAUUUUGAUCAAUGGCCCAUAAUGUUUUCAAACAAACACACAUCCUUGUAAAAUGUAAGUUACCAAUGGAAAGUUGCCAUGUGGCCAACAAAUGGAGAAAAUAAUUUUUGUUACUUGUAAAAACGUGAUUAAUGGGUUUUGAAAAACAUUUCACAAUUUUCACCUUAUUUUCACAAACCCCUAGUUCUUUCUAGUUACUACAAUGCAUGUGACAGUUAUGUUUUUGCCCUACAUCGUCGCCCUUAGUACCUGCAAAAGAAAUUAACCCAUAUCAAUAUGUAGGAAAGAUUAACAAGCCUUAAAUUUACCUACAUUUAGAAUUUUGAUUCCCAUAUCAGAUGGGUUUACGUCGGUUUGAAUUUUUUCAAGUAUAACAUCACCACAAGCAAUUUUUUCACGUAUGAAAUGGUACUUCACCUCAAUAUGUUUAGAUCUCUCAUGAUAAACUGAAUUUUUACAUAAAAGUAAAGCACUUUGACUAUCGAUGAAAAUAACUGGUGACACUUGCAAAAAAUUCAACUCCCCCAAAAUUCUUUUCAACCAAAUACAUUCUUUUACAGAUUUGGUUAUUGCCACAUAUUCAGCUUCCGUGCUGGAUAAUGUGACAAUAGAUUGAAGUCGUGACUUCCAUGUGAUGCAAUUAUCACCUAAUGUGAAGAAAUAGGAGGUAGUAGACUUUUUUUUAUCUUUAUCACCAGCAAAGUCGGAGUCUACAUACCCCUUUAAAAUGAGCUGUUCAGAUCUUCUUUCAAACAUCAAUCCCACAUCUAAUGUUUCGGCAAUGUAUCUUAAAAGCCACUUUAACCCCGCCUAAUGAGGUUUCCCCAGAUUAGACAUGAAUCUACUUAAGAAACUUAUAGCAUAAGCCAAAUCCGGCCUAGCAGUAAUCAUAGAAAACAUGACUGAUCUUAUGGCAUUAGCAUAUGGGAUAUUUUUCAUUUCUUCCAUUUUACUUUCAGUUUUAGGAGACUGAGAUGAUGAUAAAUUCAUAUGGGCUGCAAGAAGUACAUUAACUUUCUUAGCUUCUUUCAUGCCAAACUUGGUUACAACUUUGUUCAAAUAAGCACUUUGUGUUGUAGUUAAAAUGUUAUCUUGCCUAUUUCUGUUGAUAACUAUUCCCAAAAUUUUCUUGAUGUUUCCCAAGUCCUUCAUAUCAAAUUCUGAUUUUAGAAGCCCUGUAAGUCUCAAAAUUUUAGACUUACUAGAGUUGGCCAAUAGCAUGUCAUCAACAUAUAGAAGUAAAUAAACUUCACUACCAGCCCUAGUGUUAUUAUAAUAUAAACAGUGAUCAUAUUCACUUCUUUUGAAACCAAUCUUCAACACAUAUGUGUCAAACCUAAUGUACCAUUGCCUUGGACUUUGUUUGAGCCCAUACAAUGACUUUUGCAACUUUCACACAUAAUCACCCUUCUCCUUCACCUCAAACCCUUGAGGUUGAUUCAUAUAGAUCUCCUCAUUUAAUUCACCAUGUAAGAAGGCCGUCUUGACAUCUAAUUGUUCAAGUUCCCAAUUGAACUGAACAACUAGUGCAAGCACCAACAUUAUGGUCUUAUAUUUGACAACCGGUGAGAAGAUCUCAUUGUAGUCAACACCCUCUUUUUGAGUAAAUCCUUUGGCUACUUGCCUCGCUUUAUAUCUCAAAGGGUCAGACGACACAAUCCCUUCUUUUAGUUUGAAAAUCCAUUUACAUUGAACAACUCUUUGAUUUUUAGGUUUCUUUACUAAUUUCCACGUGUUGUUUUCAAGUAAAGAUUUCAUUUCUUAUUUCAUUGCAUCUUUCCAAUUUUUAGAAUUAGAGCUAUUCAUAGCCUCUUCAUAUGAUGAAGGUUCUGAAUACUCUAAAGAUUCGCCCGAGAUGAGGGCAAAGUCGGUCAAAUUAUUUAUUUCAUAUCUUGGAUUUGGUUUGAUUUGCCUUCUUUCCCUAUCUCUCACCAAUUGAUAAUCUUGAGCACUUGUUUCAAUAGUAGGAAUAUUUGAAUUUUCAAUUUCAGUUUUGACUUCACUCGGACCUACUUCACCUUCAUCCAUGUCAACAACAUUUUCAUCAGAUUGUUGUAUACCCUCAUCAAUGUUUUCAUGUUGAGUGGGAUUUAGCCUUGCUAGCUUCACCUCAUUCCGUGAAGCAGUCUCAUUGAUUUGCUCUUUAGAAUUAUCAAUUUUGUUCUUUAGGCAUGGCAUUUCGGAUUCAUUGAAAACCACAUUUCUACUAUUAAUGAUUUUAAUGCCUUGAACGCCUAACACCCACAACCGGUACCCCUUAACACCUUCCGGGUACCCAAGCAUCACAUACUUAGUAGCUUUAGGGUCCAAUUUUCCUUCAACUUGAUGUGCAUAUGUCGCACAUCCAAACACCCUAAUAUGAGAAAGGUUUGGGGGUCUUCCCGUCCAAAGUUCCUGUUGAGUUUUAAAUCCAACAAAACUACGUGGAGAUCGAUUUAUAAGAUAAGCAGCUGUAGAUACAGCCUCCGUCCAAAAACCUUUCGCUAAUCCAGAACUGAUUAGCAUACAUCUUACUUUGUUCAUUAGAGUUCUAUUCAUUCUUUCCGCGACCCCAUUUUGUUGUGAUGUGUGCUUAACGGUUCUGUGUCUUACAAUUCCUUUUUGCUUAUAGAAGUUAUCAAACUCAGCAUUGCAAAAUUCUAAUCCAUUGUCAGUUCUUAGAGUCUUUAACUUCUUAUCAAAUUGAUUUUCCACCAUCUUCAACCAAGUUCGAAAUUUUUGAAAAGUCUCAGAUUUAGAUUUCAAUGGAUAGGUCCAAACUUUUCUAGAGUAGUCGUCAACUAUAGAAAGAAAGUACUUAUUCCCUCCAAAUGUAGGAUGACUUUUCGGUCCCCAUAAAUCUGAGUGGACAUAGUCUAGGAGCCUAGAGGUGGUAUGUGAUCCAGUUUCAAAGCUCACCCUAUGUGACUUGCCCAACACACAUGUUUCACAAAAUUCAAGAGGCUCAAUCAUAUCCUUCCCAAGCAACUUUUGAUUACUUAGAUACUUUAAACCUUUAUUUCCUAUAUGUCCCAUUCUAUUAUGCCACAAUUCAGAUUUAUUUUUCGUUAUGGUCAAAGAUUUAGCAUCUUGAAGGAUAACUGUCUUUCCCAAAAGAUAGUACAAUCCAUUUCUUCUUGGUCCCUUAAAGAUUACCAAAGAUCCCUUCAUAACUUUCAAGGUGUUAUUUUCAGACUUGAAAGAAUGUCCCUCAUCUUCAAGAGAUCCCAACGAGAUGAGAUUUCUUUUCAAAUUCGGGACAUGUCUCACAUUCUUUAGUUUCCUGACAAUGCCAUCAUGCAUUCUGAUAGCGAUGUCACCAAUACCGAGAACACUUUGAGAGUUAUUAUCGCCCAUAUAUACUUUCAUGGGUUCAAUUUCUUUGUAAUUAUUAAACUAUAAUUUAUUAGGAUAUAUGUGGAAUGUACACCCUGAAUCCAAGAUUCAGUCCUUAUCAACUCCUUCAUCAGACACAGUCAUUAAAGAAGACUGUCUAACUCAGAACCAAUCGCAAAAUUAUUCAAAUCUUCAUUAUUAUGAUCUUUUGAUUUGUUUUUCCAAUCAAAGCAAUCACGUUUAAAGUGUCCAUUUUUCCCACAGUGGUAGCACUUUUUAUUGCUUCUAUCUCGUGAUUUAGAUCUAGUUUUUUAUUUAGAUUUGAAUCUUCUGUUGUUUGAGUUACUUUCCUUCUUUACAAUUCUCUUCUCAGAAACAUACUUUUCUCCCUUGAACUUUUAGAUUCUCUCUUGAUUCCCAAUUCUCGAGAUCUUAACACAUUGAUGACAAUAGAUUGCGUUAAAGCAUCUCUUGAAUAUUUUAUUGCAUUCUUGAUAUCCCUAUAGGAGUCAGGUAGGGAAUUAAGAAGGAUCACUGCAAGGUCCUCAUCUUCAAAUUUUUUGUCAUUAUGGGAAAGGCUUUUAACCAAAAUGUUAAAGUUACUCAAAUUUGUUUCCAAGUCUUUUCCAACAUCCAUUCUGAAGCUAAACAGUUUCUCUAAGAGGUAAAUUUUAUUUGGCAACGUCUUAGUUAGAAACAAAAUAUCUAAUGCAGUCCAUAAUUCUCUAGCGAUUUUGUGUUCUUCAACUUGUCUUACAAUGUUAUCUGAUAAGUGCAAUAUAAUAGAACUAUAUGCAAUUUCAUUCAUAUCUAGAAUUUCAUUAGGCUUAGCUUUCAAUUCAUCAGAAAAUUUUUCAGGAUUUUCGAGGGCUUUAGCAACCCUUUGUUGGACCAAUAUGACCCUCAUUUUCUGCUUCCAAACAAAGUAAUCCCCCUUUCCAUCGAAUUGAGACAAUUCGACCUUCGAACCUAUUGCAGGUUCUGUAAAAGGAUGGCUACUACUUGCGAACAUAAAUGAUUUUUAAUAUAUCAGAUCACUUAAGUUGCAGAAAAAAUUUUGAAAAAUGUUUUGCAGAUAAAUUCAGAUAAACAGAUGACAGAAUGAAAAAAACAUAGUUAUAUGGCAUGCACAAAUUGAAUAACAGCAGGAUUAAUUUCAGAUUUCUAACAGUUGGUACCAAACAAUCAGAUUACAGAAAAUUGAAAUAUCCUAAUACUUGUUUCUAUUCCAAUUAAACAAUUUAUUCAAUUCUUGAACAAAUUCAAACCACAGUAAUAUUCACAUAUUUACAUAUGAUUCAAGAACACAUGCAAAUAAAGUACUAUGAACUAAAUUGGAAUAAUCUCACCAAAUACUGUGUAUAACAGUAUUAAAUCCACUCCAGAGAUUUACUACAGAGUCCGAAUCCAAAACCCUAGCUUCAAGAACUUUUGUUCAAAUUUCUUAUUGGACUGCACAGAUCAAUUAAACACAUCAAUAUAACAAAAAAUUACACUGUAUUUACAGAUUCCUUACCCACGCCUUACUAGGCUCUGAUACUAGUUUCGUUGGGAUUUUUCACCCAAUGUGCGAUUUCAAUCACCAAUACGCAGCAACAGCAGGAAUAAAAAAUCAUGCAGAAAAUUAAAGAAUGCACAAAUUAUUCACCCAAUUCGGCCAAGCCUAAUCUAGGGGGCUCAGAGGCAAAACAACCCAAGCCCAUCAUUAUGCAAAGAACCUCCCAAGAGAGAACACGAGAUCGUUUUACAAGAAUUAGAUUUACACCAAGAAAAAUCAGAUCAUUGGCUUUACAAAUAGCCUCACAAUAUUAGCCCUGAUCGACCCUGACCUAGACUCUAAUGUAGUAUCAAUUUACAGUCUAAAAAUUUGACCAAACAGACCAAAGAACCCACUGCCCAAAAACAUAAAACUCCGGCCAGCCACCAGUAAAAUAACCACCAGAUCACUGGCUCAGAACACUGGCCUUACAAUUGAAAAUAUGGCCGAAAAGUAUAUAUAAUCAGAUCUGAAAUUUCCUCCACCAAAGAGAAGAAAAACGCCAUAGAGAGAGAAGAGAGAAGUCUGCCAUUUUGGAAGAAAAAUGAAGAGAAAGUGAAAGUCAUUUUUUUGCUUCUCUCUCCUGCCGUCCAUAUCAAUUAAAUGAGAGAAAAUUUUUAGGCUAAUCUCAACCCUCCAUUUUGAUCAAUGGCCCAUAAUGUUUUCAAACAAACACACAUCCUUGUGAAAUGUA
rnacentral:lncRNA from 1 species